CUCACGGCCUACCGAUGUGGUUGUCUUCGAUGUGCUCGAUGAGCUCCCCCAGGCUGGGGAACUGCAGCCCGCAUCCCCCGAAGCGGCAGAAUUCGCGUGGCAAAGAGAUUUGCAACCGUGUUCUAUUACAUAUUCUGUCUCCGAGAUGAGCGCGGACUUGAUGAAAAGCAAGGACAAAUCCUGCAGUUUCUGACCAUUCCCAUAAUUCUGAAGAGGGAGAUGGCAUGGGGCAGGGUGACACUAGGCACAAGGACACACAAGAUGGCCGCUGAGCCAUCAGUUGGCCAACUCGAUACACAGGAUGGCUGCCGGAUCACACAAUAUGGAGAGAAACAGCAGAGCAGAUACAGAUACUGCCUGGGGCCACCAGAACGCCAGCAUACUGCACUCACAACUAGUUGAUUAGUUUAAGGCGGAUGGGAGAGAGAAUACACAUGAGUAAUGAACACUGCCUGCCAAAGUGUCUGGUUCCAGACAACACCUCUUAUAGAAAUGCUAACAGCUUGAUACAGACUCAAAAUGGAGUACUAAUAGCCAGGGCUGCAGUAAUCAUCCUUC